rnacentral:rRNA from 1 species
AUGCAAAGCAAGCAUGUUAAUGUAAACUACCUGACACUUACCCGAAUUCAGAGCUCUCCAGGGGCGUUUGCAGAUCUGCCUCGCAGUGUAUCGGAUGCCGCCGCAUUCUACCGUGGCGAGGAGGGGAGCUCAACGGAGAAGGUCUGCUGGUCUCAGUAUGCUGAGGCCGGCCAUCCGGUGCCCCCUAGCGACCAGCUGAAGCAGCUGGUCGAGCUCCACAAGGUAGCUGAGCAGCCUAUGAAGGGCCUCAUAGUCCGGCUGUGGCCUGGAGAGGCCAUGCCUGGGAGCUACUUCGGCCUCGUGCGGUGGCUGGUGGAUGCGUGCCCCUGGGUGGAGGUCAUCAAGCGCUCUGCCUGUAUUGAAGGUGCUCGUUGGGCCCUUGCACACGCAAAGGUGCACUGGGGCAGGUUGGAUGUGGAGAGGCUUAUCACUGACGCGCCGCCAGCGGGCAAGGAGUAUCGUACGCCCGAGAUGUACUAUAAGACUGUCCUGAAGGGUGCCCGCAAGAUUGCGGAUGAGUGCCCCAGAGAUGCAAUUAUUGAGUAA